rnacentral:tRNA from 1 species
UAUAUCUAAGUGUAAGAUGCACAAGAGUUUUUGAUACUCUAAGGAAUAGUUUAAUUCUAUUAAAUAUAA